rnacentral:rRNA from 1 species
AUGAACGCUAGCUACAGGCUUAACACAUGCAAGUCGAGGGGCAGCAUCAUCAAAGCUUGCUUUGAUGGAUGGCGACCGGCGCACGGGUGAGUAACACGUAUCCAACCUGCCGACAACACUGGGAUAGCCUUUCGAAAGAAAGAUUAAUACCGGAUGGCAUAGUUUUCCCGCAUGGGAUAAUUAUUAAAGAAUUUCGGUUGUCGAUGGGGAUGCGUUCCAUUAGGCAGUUGGCGGGGUAACGGCCCACCAAACCAACGAUGGAUAGGGGUUCUGAGAGGAAGGUCCCCCACAUUGGAACUGAGACACGGUCCAAACUCCUACGGGAGGCAGCAGUGAGGAAUAUUGGUCAAUGGACGAGAGUCUGAACCAGCCAAGUAGCGUGAAGGAUGACUGCCCUAUGGGUUGUAAACUUCUUUUAUACGGGAAUAAAGUUAGCCACGUGUGGCUUUUUGUAUGUACCGUAUGAAUAAGGAUCGGCUAACUCCGUGCCAGCAGCCGCGGUAAUACGGAGGAUCCGAGCGUUAUCCGGAUUUAUUGGGUUUAAAGGGAGCGUAGGCGGGUUGUUAAGUCAGUUGUGAAAGUUUGCGGCUCAACCGUAAAAUUGCAGUUGAUACUGGCGACCUUGAGUGCAACAGAGGUAGGCGGAAUUCGUGGUGUAGCGGUGAAAUGCUUAGAUAUCACGAAGAACUCCGAUUGCGAAGGCAGCUUACUGGAUUGUAACUGACGCUGAUGCUCGAAAGUGUGGGUAUCAAACAGGAUUAGAUACCCUGGUAGUCCACACAGUAAACGAUGAAUACUCGCUGUUGGCGAUAUACGGUCAGCGGCCAAGCGAAAGCAUUAAGUAUUCCACCUGGGGAGUACGCCGGCAACGGUGAAACUCAAAGGAAUUGACGGGGGCCCGCACAAGCGGUGGAGCAUGUGGUUUAAUUCGAAGCAACGCGAAGAACCUUACCAGGUCUUGACAUCCCGAUGCUAUUUCUAGAGAUAGAAAGUUACUUCGGUACAUCGGUGACAGGUGGUGCAUGGUUGUCGUCAGCUCGUGCCGUGAGGUGUCGGCUUAAGUGCCAUAACGAGCGCAACCCUUAUCGAUAGUUACCAUCAGGUGAUGCUGGGGACUCUGUCGAGACUGCCGUCGUAAGAUGUGAGGAAGGUGGGGAUGACGUCAAAUCAGCACGGCCCUUACGUCCGGGGCUACACACGUGUUACAAUGGGGGGUACAGAAGGCAGCUACACGGCGACGUGGUGCUAAUCCCUAAAGCCUCUCUCAGUUCGGAUUGGAGUCUGCAACCCGACUCCAUGAAGCUGGAUUCGCUAGUAAUCGCGCAUCAGCCACGGCGCGGUGAAUACGUUCCCGGGCCUUGUACACACCGCCCGUCAAGCCAUGAAAGCCGGGGGUACCUGAAGUGCGUAACCGCAAGGAGCGCCCUAGGGUAAAACUGGUGACUGGGGCU